AUCCAGCUGACGAGUCCCAAAUAGAAUGAAACGCUCGUCAUUGAU
rnacentral:hammerhead_ribozyme from 1 species